GGGCCCGCACAAGCGGUGGAGCAUGUGGUUUAAUUCGAUGCAACGCGAAGAACCUUACCAAGGCUUGACAUACUACAGAUUUCUUUGAAAAAGGAAAGUGCCUUCGGGAAUGUAGAUACAGGUGGUGCAUGGCUGUCGUCAGCUCGUGUCGUGAGAUGUUGGGUUAAGUCCCGCAACGAGCGCAACCCUUAUUUUUAGUUGCUAAUUUAGUUUAGGUUUUCUAGAAAGACUGCCGGUGACAAACCGGAGGAAGGUGAGGAUGACGUCAAGUCAGCAUGCCCCUUAUGCCUUGGGCUACACACGUGCUACAAUGGUUAAGACAAAGAGUUGCGAGCUCGUGAGAGUCAGCUAAUCUCAUAAACUUAGCCUAAGUUCGGAUUGUAGGCUGCAACUCGCCUGCAUG
rnacentral:rRNA from 1 species